AAGGUAGCAUAAUCACUUGGUUCUUUAAAUGAGGACCAGUAUCAACGGCAUCACGAGGAUCCUACUGGUCUCCCCCCUCUAAUCAGUGAAACUGAUCUCUCCGUGAAGAAGCGGGGAUGAAUCUAUAAGACGAGAAGACCCCAUGGAGCUUUAAACCCGACAGCACCCGCUUACUUUAUACCUAAUUAUAUGCCCGUUGCCUGUCUGCUCGGUUUUAGGUUGGGGUGACCACGGAGUACAAAAUAACCUCCAUGAAAAAGGGGAUAAUACCCUUAUUAGAGAACAACACUUCCAAAAACUAAUAAAUUAAUUUCUAAUGAUCCGACAUUCGAUCAACGAACCAAGUUACCCUGGGGAUAACAGCGCAAUCCACCCCGAGAGCUCCUAUCGACAGGUGGGUUUACGACCUCGAUGUUGGAUCAGGGUAUCCCAGUGGUGCAGCAGCUACCAACGGUUCGUUUGUUCAACGAUUAAAACCCU
rnacentral:rRNA from 1 species